CUGAUAAAGACGAACCAACCACUGUAAUUGAGUCCGAUAUUUCUGAAUCGAGGAAAAAUUUACCACGGGAACAAGACGUCGAAACUUCUGAUUCUUCUGCUGCUCCAAAAGAGCUAGAUGAUGAUCUUUUUACCAAUGUAACCCAAAACUUCCGUGAAGUCUCGACUCUGACCAAAAGAAGUAUAGCUGAAAUUUCUGAACAACCCGCUGGAAUAGAACCAAACUUAGAAGAUGACAAUGCAG